rnacentral:rRNA from 1 species
UACGUAGGUGGCAAGCGUUAUCCGGAUUUACUGGGUGUAAAGGGCGUGUAGGCGGGGACGCAAGUCAGAUGUGAAAACCACGGGCUCAACCUGUGGCCUGCAUUUGAAACUGUGUUUCUUGAGCACUGGAGAGGCAGACGGAAUUCCUAGUGUAGCGGUGAAAUGCGUAGAUAUUAGGAGGAACACCAGUGGCGAAGGCGGUCUGCUGGACAGCAACUGACGCUGAGGCGCGAAAGCGUGGGGAGCAAACAGG